AGUGAACGCUGGCGGUAGGCCUAACACAUGCAAGUCGAACGGCAGCACAGUAAGAGCUUGCUCUUACGGGUGGCGAGUGGCGGACGGGUGAGGAAUACAUCGGAAUCUACUUUUUCGUGGGGGAUAACGUAGGGAAACUUACGCUAAUACCGCAUACGACCUACGGGUGAAAGCAGGGGAUCUUCGGACCUUGCGCGACUGAAUGAGCCGAUGUCGGAUUAGCUAGUUGGCGGGUUAAAGGCCCACCACGGCGACGAUCCGUAGCUGGUCUGAGAGGAUGAUCAGCCACACGGGAACGGAGACACGGUCCAUACUCCUACGGGAGGCACCAGUGGGGAAUAUUGGACAAUGGGCGCAAGCCUGAUGCAGCCAUACCGCGUGGGUGAAGAAGGCCUUCGGGUUGUAAAGCCCUUUUGUUGGGAAAGAAAAGCAGCAGGUUAAUACCCCGCUGUUCUGACGGUACCCAAAGAAUAAGCACCGGCUAACUUCGUG
rnacentral:rRNA from 1 species